rnacentral:tRNA from 1 species
GCCGAAGUGGCGGAACUGGCAUACGCGCGGGUCUCAAAAACCCGUGUCCGCAAGGACAUGUGGGUUCAACUCCCACCUUCGGCA